GAUGAACGCUGGCGGCGUGCCUAAUACAUGCAAGUCGAGCGAACAGAUGAGGAGCUUGCUCCUCUGACGUUAGCGGCGGACGGGUGAGUAACACGUGGAUAACCUACCUAUAAGACUGGGAUAACUUCGGGAAACCGGAGCUAAUACCGGAUAAUAUAUUGAACCGCAUGGUUCAAUAGUGAAAGACGGUUUUGCUGUCACUUAUAGAUGGAUCCGCGCCGCAUUAGCUAGUUGGUAAGGUAACGGCUUACCAAGGCAACGAUGCGUAGCCGACCUGAGAGGGUGAUCGGCCACACUGGAGCUGAGACACGGUCCAGACGCCUACGGGAGGCAGCAGUAGGGAAUCUUCCGCAAUGGGCGAAAGCCUGACGGAGCAACGCCGCGUGAGUGAUGAAGGUCUUCGGAUCGUAAAACUCUGUUAUUAGGGAAGAACAAAUGUGUAAGUAACUAUGCACGUCUUGACGGUACCUAAUCAGAAAGCCACGGCUAACUACGUG
rnacentral:rRNA from 1 species